rfam:Dendroctonus ponderosae Seq01002231, whole genome shotgun sequence.
GUCAGGAUGGCCGAGCGGUCUAAGGCGCCAGACUCAAGGUUUCCUUGCCUGUCAAUUGCGGGUUCUGAGCAUUCUGGUCCUCUUUGAGGGCGUGGGUUCGAAUCCCACUUCUGACA